UGGGGAAUCUUGGACAAUGGGGGCAACCCUGAUCCAGCGACGCCGCGUGGGUGAUGAAGGCCUUCGGGUUGUAAAGCCCUUUCACCGGGGACGAUGAUGACGGUACCCGGAGAAGAAGCACCGGCUAACUCCGUGCCAGCAGCCGCGGUAAGACGGAGGGUGCUAGCGUUGUUCGGAAUCACUGGGCGUAAAGGGCGCGUAGGCGGCUUUGGCAGUCGGAUGUGAAAGCCCGGGGCUCAACUCCGGAGGUGCAUCCGAUACUCCAAGGCUGGAGGCCGGAAGAGGAGGGUGGAAUACCCAGUGUAGAGGUGAAAUUCGUAGAUAUUGGGUGGAACACCGGUGGCGAAAGCGGCUCUCUGGUCCGGACCUGACGCUGAGGCGCGAAAGCGUGGGGAGCAAACAGGAUUAGAUACCCCCGUAGUCC
rnacentral:rRNA from 1 species